UACGUAGGGUGCGAGCGUUUAAUCGGAAUUACUGGGCGUAAAGCGUGCGCAGGCGGUCGUUCAAGUCGAGUGUGAAAGCCCCCGGCUCAACUGGGGAGGGUCACGCGAUACUGAUCGACUCGAAGGCAGGAGAGGGUAGUGGAAUUCCCGGUGUAGUGGUGAAAUGCGUAGAUAUCGGGAGGAACACCAGUGGCGAAGGCGACUACCUGGCCUGUUCUUGACGCUGAGGCGCGAAAGCUAGGGGAGCAAACGGG
rnacentral:rRNA from 1 species